CCUCUUUUUUAAUAACUUAAUAAUUUAAUAACUUAAUAAAUUUAAUAAUAAAAUUCCUAUAUUGACGAACAAAUUAUCCUUUGAAAUAGCGAAACCCAAGAAAUUUGGGGUGCGGCCAUAGAAACUGAUAGCACUGUAUAUGGACUCUAUUAAAACAAUUUUAAAUAAUGAAUUUAAAAUUACCAAAAAUCACUUUUUAUGAAAUUUAUAUGAAUAUUUAUCACAUUUUGAUUUUUAAUCACUAUUGUUUACUAUGUAAAAUUUAUCAUUGAAGUUUUUAUGACUUUUGUAAAAACGUUAAUCAAAAUAUGUGUAUGUUGUAGAUGGUGAACAUUUCGAAAUGAAUUGUACUAUGCGUCUUACGAUAAUUUUGUUGUUCCGUUCAACUAUCGCGGAAGCAGGGCAGGACGAAUUUAGGCAAUCGCACAACGCCGCUAAAAUAUUCAAAUAGUAUGAACGAGCAAAUGCAUAAGCACAAUCUGACCUGUUUUACAAAACAUGCUUAGACUAUCGUGGAGUACUCAUUUCAUUACUCAGGAGAAAAUAUUAUGGAUGAACUAGAUGCGAUUUAUUAAAAUAUAUAAAUUUCUUUUUUAAUUAUUUAACGAACAAUUAGGCCGUUUUUCUUUGAUUAAGUAUUACUGAUACGAAUUAGCUAAAGACUAAAUAGGUCUAAAAAUUCGUAUAAAUUCUUAAUAUCAUUUUCUUACGCUUUUCAAUAAUAUGAGUUAAUAGAACGGUCAACAAAAUUAAAAUUAUGUAUCUUUUUACUCGUAGAAUUUAUUACUCAAAUGUUAAAACCAUGUGCAACUUAUCUGCUACAGGAACUGACGCUGCAUUUUAUAUAUCCUUGCUCGCUUCCAACCGGUAAUCGUGCACUGCUUAAACUGCGCAAUGUGACCGUUCGUUUCAUUUCUAGUGAUGCGCUUGCGCUAAGGGUCAAGUUCAAGUUCAAGUUCAAAGAGGAAAAAGGACAGGUAGCUAUUUUUUGAGGGAAAGGCAGACAAUGUACUUGUUAACAAAUACGGCUAUAGUCAGAGGGAAAAGGAUAGCCAUUAUGACCUUCCCAACCAGCCAAACUAACAUGCUUUCUCGCUUUGGCAGGUUUGAUUGUUCAUAAGACAGAACGAGAAGGUUUGUUGAUAUGGCUAGUUGGGUUUUUGCUACAGAGCCGGUUCGGUGUAAGAUCCGUAUCAAGUUCAAUGUGUCUUGGCUAAUGUGUCUUGGCUAACGUGUCUUGGCUAAAGUGUUUUGGCUAAUGUGUCUUGGCUAAUGUGUCUCGACUAAAGUGUCUUGGCUAGUGUGUCUCGACUAAGGUGUCUUGGCUAGUGUGUCUCGACUAAGGUGUCUUGGCUAAUGUGGCUAAAAAGGAUCUAUUUAGCCAGGCAAAAAUAUCGAGAUCACAGGUACCUUUGAAAAAAAUUGUUAUUUACCGUAAUGGAGGUGCCUGGUCCUUAAGCCAGGUAUUGUAACAACAUCUAAAGAUAUACACUGGUAUUAUAGUUCAAUCGAGUUCAUUGGAUGCAAACUAACAAUUAUAUCAUUUGCAAAACUUAUAUUUAAUGUAUCUAAUACAGCCAUAACUUCUCCAAGCCUUGCACUGUCCUGUGAAUCGCUAUCAGAACUCAGAUCCUGAUGUUGCUGAUCAUGCGACCGUGUGGUCAUACUAAUGCUUGCAAAUUUGUUUCAAUAUUUGAUUUAGUAACAAAAAAAAACGUUUUAACAUCUGGAAAGUCAGACUCGUUCUUAGUUUUCAACCUUGUAAGUAGCGAAAUUGAACUGAUUAAUGGAUCAGAUGAAUAGAGAGCGUUCAUAAAAAUAUCCUUUAGUUUGAGAAUUCUUGAACAUUUUCUAGCAUGCUCUCGUCUGUCUCUUCUGUAAAAUUUGUGACAGCUUUCGGCUGCUUCUUCUCCCAAUACCCCAAUUGGUGCUGGUGCAUGCAUGACAAUUUCAUCGACAUGGGCUAGAACUUUGUGAACAGUAGAAGGCAUUUUAUAUCAAUUAUAAUCUCUAAAAACGCAUCCAGCAACGUAACGGAGAAAUUUCAAAGUUCAAAUUUUCAGGUUUAGCACAAAAUCCAUUUUCCACUUCAUUAAAGUUAUUCAUCUGGCUUGGCUUAGCGCCACAUAUACAACAAGUUUGCAUUGAUGGAGUAUUAGUAACAUAGGCUAACACUUUCCCAUCUAUCAGACUCAUAUAAAAAUUAAAAGACACUAUCACUUCAACUGUAUCAGUUAAGCAUAUUUUCAGAGGCAUUAUGCCCAUAAUUUGAUCAUAAAUUUCUUUUACACUCUCUAACAUUUUUUCUUUUGUUUCUUUAACAAAUUCUACUCCAAUUGGUCACUGGAUCCAUCAAUUCCCCAAGAACAUAGUAACAUAUUUAUUGCACAGUUUGAUAUUUCGCGUUAGGAUUCUCUAGGGCUUGAAAAUUAACACUAGCCUUAGUUUCACUCACACUGAUGAAUUCGUCACUUGUUGCAGAUUUUUUUAAAACUUAUAUGCAAUCAUAAGAAGGAAACUUUUUUUUAAUACCUCAUAAAUAUUCGCAUAUUGAGAUUGGGUAAAACCAUUGCCUAUAAAACAUGAUAAUCCUUCUUCAUGAGUAUCAGCUGUUUCAUUGAUAUCAAAAACAUUCACAAGAUGUUUUGGUUGCAUUUUUCUUUACGUGCAAAACUCCGCACUGUGUACAAUUCUUUUUCUACAUUACCGUUUAUAUCACUACUACACUCAACAGCAACACGACGACGCUUAUUCCGCAAGCACAAAUCAUUAAACUUUUCAUUUGGUCGACCUGCUUGAGAUUGAUCGUUAGUGUAUUCACUAAUAUCAAAUUAUGUUUCCAGUCACAACCUGGAUUACUUCAAAAAACGCAGCUUGCUUCUUCUGUUCUUUUCAAAACUCUUUUGAAUAGAAUAUAUUAUAUUAUUCAAUUUAUGCGAAACCUUUUUUAUCUCACUUUAUUCAAUGCUAACUUUAUUUUGAAUAAAUUUCAGGGCCGAGUUAAGAUUCCAAGCUAAAUUUUUGUCACUAUGAAAAUGUUGAUAGAUAUCGUUGUAGGUAAUCGACACCACCUUGACACUUUAAAGAUAUUUGUUUGAAUGAACUGCGUAAUUUUUUAUGCAUCUAUAUACACACACGAAAAAUAAUGCAUAACUGGGCAGAUAAGUAGAUAUGAUGACGCCUUGUUGAGAUGCCGGUUUACUUUUUAUUACGCGUUACAGAUACGGAUUAUACCUCAUACUUCUAAUGGAAUCAUAUCUGAUAUAGAACUCCUUCAAAUAUUGUUAGAACUCUACUCCGGGCAUACCAUUAAACUUUAUGUGUUACCCUAAAGUAUGUAAGCAGGUACUUAUGUGCAUCUGUUGACUGCCAGCCCACUACAAAAAGCGCAGUUAACCACACUAGGAACACACGUAUCUGGAUAUAACACAAAAUACGGAACACUACUAUAAAUAGAGUACAAGUUGAGAAAAUAUCAAGAAUUAUACCUUAAAAAAGGAAAGGCGAAACAAAAGAAAAUGAUAAAUAUUUUCAGACUAAAUCGCUGUAACAAAAUCGAUGUCUGAUGGGGACGCCCAGUACUUUAUGUACCCGGUCUCAAAAAAGUUAGUUUAAAAAAACUGUCAUAAAAAUCGCGUUCGCAAACUUUCGCACAAUAUCUCUUUACUACAUGAAAGUACACAUGUUACACUAUUAUGGGGUACUAAUGAGAGGACGCAAAUCGACAAAACUCCCAGAAUGGUUUCAAGUCAAAGUUUAAAAACAUGAUAUUUUUCACGGACUUUUUGCAAACAGUUUCAAAAUUUAAGCUUAAAUUCUGCACAAAUCAGAAACAUGAACAUAUAUGCAUAAACAAUAUUGAAUUUUCAUUCUAAAUCACAAAAAAUAUCAAAAUCGAUUGCGUAUUUAAUAAAUUACAUUGCUUUAAAGUUUGCCAAAAAAAACAUGAUUUUUUCACAAAUCUUGACUUUGACAGCCUCGUUCUCAGAAACCCGAGAGACUUGAUUUUUUUUUAUUUUUCUUAGUGUAAUCUUGUUAAAAACCGUAUUUGGUUUGCCACUAGUUGGAAGAUGUUUUUUUUUAUUUCUUCCUGCAGAUGGCCAACGUGCAAUGUUUAAUUAGCUGCCAACAAAAAAAAUGCAUCAGUAACGAUUACAAGUGAAUAGAAACACAUGAAUAGGAUACAUUUGAUGCUUAAGAACUUGUGUAAAACCAUAUACACAAUUACAAUAUUUAGUAUAAAAUAAACCAAAUCCGCUAGUGGUCAGUUGCACAACUGGGAUUCCAGCACGAACCUUUGCUUUGUUAUUUCAAAAGCAUCGAGAGUCCGAUACCGAUAUGAUAAAUAUGUAUAUUACAGUUCUUUGCUGCAAUUGCUGUUUCUGUGCUGUUGCCGCGUUACGAAAUCGGCCUUACAUAUCGUUUACCUCAUUGUAUAAAUAAUAUAUUCAGGCAGAAUUUCAAUCUAUCAGCCAGCUAAAUCGAUGGUCUGAUCAUUGAUCGUUUGCUCAUAUUUUUGUUAUUU